rnacentral:rRNA from 1 species
UACGUAGGGCGCAAGCGUUGUCCGGAAUUAUUGGGCGUAAAGAGCUCGUAGGCGGCUUGUCACGUCGGAUGUGAAAGCCCGGGGCUUAACUCCGGGUCUGCAUUCGAUACGGGCUAGCUAGAGUGUGGUAGGGGAGAAUGGAAUUCCCGGUGUAGCGGUGAAAUGCGUUGAGAUCGGAAGGAACGCCCGUGGCGAAAGCGGGCUCCUGGACCCCACCUGACGCUGAGACGCGAAAGCCAGGGGAGCGAACGGG